UACGUAGGGUGCAAGCGUUAAUCGGAAUUACUGGGCGUAAAGCGUGCGCAGGCGGUUGUGCAAGACAGGUGUGAAAUCCCCGGGCUUAACCUGGGAAUGGCAUUUGGGACUGCAAGGCUAGAGUGUGGCAGAGGAGACUGGAAUUCCUGGUGUAGCAGUGAAAUGCGUAGAUAUCAGGAGGAAUACCGAUGGCGAAGGCAGGUCUCUGGGCUAACACUGACGCUCAUGCACGAAAGCGUGGGGAGCAAACAGG
rnacentral:rRNA from 1 species